UGGGGAAUAUUGCACAAUGGGCGCAAGCCUGAUGCAGCCAUGCCGCGUGUAUGAAGAAGGCCUUCGGGUUGUAAAGUACUUUCAGUCGGGAGGAAGGUGGUAAGGUUAAUAACCUUAUCAAUUGACGUUACCGACAGAAGAAGCACCGGCUAACUCCGUGCCAGCAGCCGCGGUAAUACGGAGGGUGCAAGCGUUAAUCGGAAUUACUGGGCGUAAAGCGCACGCAGGCGAUUGAUUGAGUCAGAUGUGAAAUCCCCGGGCUUAACCCGGGAAUUGCAUCUGAUACUGGUCAGCUAGAGUCUUGUAGAGGGGGGUAGAAUUCCAUGUGUAGCGGUGAAAUGCGUAGAGAUGUGGAGGAAUACCGGUGGCGAAGGCGGCCCCCUGGACAAAGACUGACGCUCAGGUGCGAAAGCGUGGGGAGCAAACAGG
rnacentral:rRNA from 1 species